rnacentral:tRNA from 1 species
GGCGUGGUGGCCAAGUAGUAAGGCAAGGGUCUGCAAAACCCUCAUGCGCGAGUGCGAAUCUCGCCCACGCCUCCA